CAGCCACACGGCAGGGGAACAACACCACAAGGCUGUUCCAUGGGCAACUCAGCAGAAGUCAGACCAGAAGAGCCAGUUCCCAGCACAGCACGGAAAGCUCCGGCCCGCUGCGUAUUUCUUCCACAGAAGAGACAGCAUGCAACAAGGGGUUGUGAAUUUUGUAUAUGAUGAUUUCUUGCAGUGCAUUAUGGCAGUCUGAGGGCUGAAGUGCUGGACAGAAGAAGGAUCAUCAAUCAGAGUUUUGUUUUGGAAGAAAUAAACUGAACCUACAGUGAAUAGUGGAAACAGUUGCAGAGCUUGGUGUCUUCCUGCCAGAUGAGACGUCUGCUUUGGUCCUCUGCAGCUGUGUUGUAGUUUGCUUUUUUGUUUGUCAGUGCAGCAUUCAGAGCAAUAAAUAUAUUUUUCAUAUUUUUGGAAAGUUUUUUUUUAUAUCUACCUACAUUGUUCCGGACAGGUACAUUUCUGUGUUAAGUUCCUGACCUUAUUAAAGAAUGAAGCUUGUGAUGAGAAAUAUAGGGCCUUUUUAUGUAUGGCCAAAUAAGUCAGACAAAUAGAAUAUCAACAUAAACUAAACUUAAUCUAAUGUAGGUAUUUUUUCAUCAGUUACUGUGUGUUCUGAACAGUU